rnacentral:rRNA from 1 species
UACGAAGGGGGCUAGCGUUGCUCGGAAUCACUGGGCGUAAAGGGCGCGUAGGCGGUCUUUUAAGUCGGGGGUGAAAGCCUGUGGCUCAACCACAGAAUUGCCUCGAUACUGGGAGACUUGAGUUCGGUAGAGGUUGGUGGAACUGCGAGUGUAGAGGUGAAAUUCGUAGAUAUUCGGAAGAACACCAGUGGCGAAGGCGGCUAACUGGCCCAUUACUGACGCUGAGGCUCGAAAGCUAGGGGAGCAAACAGG